rnacentral:sRNA from 1 species
UGCUGAUCCAUUUGGGAGCAUUAUGGAAUUCAAAGCCCAGAACAAUGGGCUCUAUUUAAUAUUGAACAGGUUCUUGAUAACCCGCCAUUUCUCUCCAGAGCUGCUUGAAGGUCCCUCCUGGACGUGCAGAGUUGCAGUGGCAGUUCCCAUGAAGUUGUAAGCUACUACCCAGGAUCAAGUGGUGUUAAAUCGAGAAGUCAUCCUGUUCACCUGACUAGUGGUGAACCCUGAUUUAAGAAUUUCCAAGUCUACCCUCGCCAUCUCUAUUUAAAUUUAUAGACGCAACGCACUGCCUGCCCUGGGGUCACUACCGAAGCCUCCUGGUGGAGCCCUGCCCUGCUGAGGACGCUCUUCCAACACAGAACUCACCACCAAAAAGAGACGGCGCCCAGCUGGCGCCCGCCCCGGGCACAUUGCAGUAAAUGCCUGGCAGCGACUUCUCGCUUCUCCUUCCUCCUACCCCAUCGACCCUCUGCUGCCGACCUUUACGCCAAACUCCGGCGCGCCGCGAGACUCGCGUCCUCGCUGUCCCCGAGGGGCCCCACCCCUUCCCGGUUCUAACCUGCGACCUGGCCAGAGGCAAGGUGAAUGGGAAGAUGGAGAUGGAUGUUGAGGGAGUUUCUCCGCGCCCGGAGCCCAUCCCCCGCUCCCAGGGGGCUGGCGGAGCCUGCCAGGCGCCGCCACAGCCGCCCCAGCCCCAGCCGCCACCGCAGCAGCUGGCUCAGGAUGAACUGCCCGGCGAGAGUGCAGGCGCUGAGGACAGCGACGAUCCCGAGACGAGACCCAACGGCGAGAAAGGAGAGAGCAAGUAUUUCAGUGACAUCAUCCACUCAGGAGAGUUGGGGCGAGGCUGGCUAAAGUUCUCAAGGAGCUGAGUUUUGAGUUCAGGUGCUCGUGUAGCAGUGGAAUGAUGCCUCCUGACCCUUCAGACCUUUGAGACCUCUGGGCGGUCUUAGAAAUCACUUCAAGCCUCCAGUCCAGGAUACGACUGCCUAGGGGAAUUCCAGGGAAAGGUGGCAGAAAUGCCACGGACUACAAGGUGAUGAAUACCACUAUGAGCUCACUACAAGAUCUCAAAAGAUUUCAAGCACUGGCUGUUCCAAAGCAUAAAGCCACCCUUCUGGAGCAGCGGCAGGAGGCAGGCUGGGACGAGGCCCCGAGUUUUGGCCAGAUGGACCGCCUCCUUAGGUGUCCGGGCAGCUGCUGAAACAUAGUGAGGAAGAUGCUGCUGAUCCAAAGGAUAAAAACACAGAAACUAAAACCAAGAAGCACCUAAAGUGGACUCACACCCAGCAUCCUGCAGACUGACUUUCUCUGAGCUAUAGUUCUGCAUUGGACUGUUUUUCCUUUGCUAUCACCUGCCCAACACACAAUCCUGGAUGCUUUUGACUGGUUGGAUUUCUUUUAUUUUUUUUUCCCUGCCUUUUCUUUUUCUUUCCUAGACCCCGGGAAUUAUAAACAAGAAAUUGCUUUAAAAAGUAUUAUUCUGUGCUAAAAUUAGCCUUGUUUAUGAACAAGUUUUAUCCCUAGGGAUUUCGUGAAUUGCAAUCCCAGAUUACCUUGUAAAUGGGGCUGUGUUGUUUGAUUUGUAUAGUACUGAUCUGUAGGUUAAAAUACAUUUCCUUUCUUUUGUUUCAUUCUUUUUUAAAAAGUUUGGAUCCAGGUAAUGGCCUGAGUCACAUUUGCUUAGCUACUGAAGCGAUCUCAAUGUGUUAUCGCUUAGAGUUGAAACAUAAUCAAACAUACGUUAUACCUGGGGCUCUUGCACACUAUUUGAUAUAUAUGUUACACUACAAAGAAACACAAACCUUGUAGGUUGAAAUGUAAUUCCUGUUUGAUCCUGCAGCUAGAAUGCUAAAGAAAUUGCAAAUAUCAAAAGUGGAUUCAAAUACCCUGAAUAUAAGCUAGUCAACAGUAAGUGGAUGGUUCCAGAAUACCAUAUUCUAAGACAAAGCAGGAAUUAGAGAUCAACUGACCUCAUCCAUAAUGUUGCUCAGGUCUGUCUGUGGAUCUGUCCAUUUUGGAGUAAAGAACAAGGCAUGCUUCUGUGAUUGUGUUUAUGAAAACUGUAGUAUUUCAGAUUUAUGUUUUGUAAUUUUGCCUGCCUUGCAAUAAAACACCUUCAGUUGACUCAGCAAUAA